AUACUUACCUAGAGAAAUUACAGGAGAUCAAGUAGUCUUGUAAUCGUUAUUAUGAUAUAAUGGCACUCACUUUAGACAUUGCACAUUACGUCAUUGGGGUGUUUUAUCUAGUAACGCCAACUUUCAUUAAUGAUCUGAAUCAUUUGAUGGAGGCUCUGGUGAUGUUCUUUAUGGGCAGAAUUGGAGUUUCUUGAUGGAUGAUUCGGGUUAGAAAGUGUGGGUCUUUUAAUUUUUGAUUUAUUUC